rnacentral:rRNA from 1 species
GAUGAACGCUAGCGGGAGGCUUAACACAUGCAAGUCGAGGGGUAACAUGAGGUAGCAAUACUUUGAUGACGACCGGCGCACGGGUGAGUAACACGUAUGCAACCUACCCUGUACAGGGGGAUAGCCCGGAGAAAUUCGGAUUAAUACCCCAUAAAGAUAUUUAGAGGCAUCUUUAAAUAUUUAAAGUUUCGACGGUACGGGAUGGGCAUGCGCAACAUUAGCUAGUUGGUAGGGUAACGGCCUACCAAGGCUACGAUGUUUAGGGGACCUGAGAGGGUGAUCCCCCACACUGGUACUGAGACACGGACCAGACUCCUACGGGAGGCAGCAGUGAGGAAUAUUGGUCAAUGGGCGUAAGCCUGAACCAGCCAUCCCGCGUGAAGGAAGAAGGCGCUAUGCGUUGUAAACUUCUUUUCCGGGGGAAGAAAACCCGCUACGAGUAGCGGCUUGCCGGUACCCUGGGAAUAAGCAUCGGCUAACUCCGUGCCAGCCGCCGCCAUAAUAC